rnacentral:tRNA from 3 species
GCCCGGGUGGCGGAAUGGCAGACGCGGAGGACUCAAAAUCCUUUGCUCGAGAGGGCGUGCGGGUUCGAGUCCCGCCCCGGGCA